GUCGGGUGCAGUGGCACGUGCCUGUAAUCCCUGCUGCUGGGGAGGCUGAGGCUGGAGGAUCUUGAGUUCAAAGCCAGCCUCAGCAAUGGUGAGGUGCUUAGCAAUUCAGUGAGACCCUGUCUCUA
rnacentral:sRNA from 1 species